AUAAGCUUUCCUGAAGAGAUGGGUUUUAAGGCCCUUCUUAAAUGAUUGAAGACUAGGGGAGAGUCUGAUGGCAGCAGGCAAGCUAUUCCAUAGGAGAGGAGCCGCCCGCGAGAAGUCCUGCAAGCGCGAGUUGGCCGUACGGGUGCGAGCAGCGGUCAGGAGGUGGUCACGGGCAGAGCGGAGGGUACGUGGAGGGGCAUAUUUAUGGAUCAGUGAAGAGAUAUAAGCGGGGCUAGA